rnacentral:lncRNA from 1 species
GGAGAGACUGCAUCUUCUCGGACAUUGCUUGGACCCACCUCUCUCUAUCCUGGCUCUCUAUAGCCUCUUCAUAGGUGUAGGAAUCCCCAUUCACUAUCACCAGAGUAUAUGACAUCGUCUCUUCGAAGCCAUAUCGUUCUGGUUGCCUGACGUUCUUUUUGGGCUUGUGCAGUACAACCUCGAUAUCCAUCCUAUGUCCAAUUUGCUCUU